rnacentral:lncRNA from 1 species
GCUGAAGUCGGUCUGUAAGUAACAAAGGCAGGGUUUUCUCUGAGGGCAUCUAGUCUCGCUCCUUCCUCGCUCUUAAAAUUUGAGGAAAGAGUCUCAAGCAAUUAGUCAACUCCAUUCAAUCUAGGAAAACUAAACAGAUUUUCUCUUACUUUUGUCAUGAGAAAACAAUAAUCUGUGUUGAUAGAGGUGAGAAAAUUGGCUGCCUUUAAAAAAAAAAAUCUUGCCUAAAGAGUUUAUAGUGUAGAACUUGUGUUCUCUAGUUUUCCAGCUUGAACCCUUAUAUGCGAUUGUGGUUAUAUUUUCAAUUUAUUUGGCCUCUGAAUAAUGCUUGAUGUCUUUAUGGAUUUG